AUUGAGCGCUGGCGGCAUGCCUUACACAUGCAAGUCGAACGGCAGCGGGCCUUCGGGUGCCGGCGAGUGGCGAACGGGUGAGUAAUGCAUCGGAACGUGCCAUUGAGUGGGGGAUAACGUAGCGAAAGUUGCGCUAAUACCGCAUAUUCUGUGAGCAGGAAAGCAGGGGACCGCAAGGCCUUGCGCUCUUUGAGCGGCCGAUGUCAGAUUAGCUAGUUGGUGAGGUAAAGGCUUACCAAGGCGACGAUCUGUAGCGGGUCUGAGAGGAUGAUCAGCCACACUGGGACUGAGACACGGCCCAGACUCCUACGGGAGGCAGCAGUGGGGAAUAUUGGACAAUGGGCGCAAGCCUGAUCCAGCAAUGCCGCGUGUGUGAAGAAGGCCUGCGGGUUGUAAAGCACUUUCAGUGGGGAAGAACGGAUACGGGCCAAUACCCCGCAUCACUGACGUUACCCACA
rnacentral:rRNA from 1 species